rnacentral:rRNA from 1 species
AUUGAACGCUGGCGGCAGGCUUAACACAUGCAAGUCGAGCGGAGCGAGGGUGCUUGCACCUUAGCUUAGCGGCGGACGGGUGGGUAAUGCUUAGGAAUCUGCCUAUUAGUGGGGGACAACAUUCCGAAAGGAAUGCUAAUACCGCAUACGCCCUACGGGGGAAAGCAGGGGAUCUUCGGACCUUGCGCUAAUAGAUGAGCCUAAGUCGGAUUAGGUAGUUGGUGGGGUAAAGGCCUACCAAGGCGACGAUCUGUAGCGGGUCUGAGAGGAUGAUCCGCCACACUGGGACUGAGACACGGCCCAGACUCCUACGGGAGGCAGCAGUAGGGAAUAUUGGACAAUGGGCGGAAGCCUGAUCCAGCCAUGCCGCGUGUGUGAAGAAGGCCUUUUGGUUGUAAAGCACUUUAAGCGAGGAGGAGGCUACUAGUAUUAAUACUACUGGAUAGUGGACGUUACUCGCAGAAUAAGCACCGGCUAACUCUGUGCCAGCCGCCGCGGUAACAC